CUCACAUUAAUCUUAAGUAUAACUUCCAAUUUAUUAUCUGGAAUCUCAGUUAUUAAUGAACUGUUUCUUGCUUGGUCAAAUCCUCUCUGCUGCAUACACACUAAUUAUAUUGAGGAUAACUCCCAUCAAGCUUAACCACUAUGAACUGUUUCUUGCUUUGCAAAUAUUCUCUGCUACCUGCAUACUAUUUCUAUUGAAGAUUAUUCCUAUCAACCUAAAGAAUAUUAUUCAAUACAUCUCUGAAGAAAUACUUAUUGAUGAACUUUGUAUUGUUUGCUAUAACCAGUAAUUUCUUCUUAUUGAAUUAUUACCUAUGUGCUUUUCACUUAAGUUUAUCACAAUUCUCUAAUUGCCAGCAAUCCUCUCUUUUCUUAAAGCUACAGUAUUGAUAAUUUAAAGAUUCUCUGUUUCUUCACUAUUGUAAUUAAGGAGUUCUACAAGCUGCAGUUGAGUUCCAAUUCUAAAAACCUGUAACGGUUCUUACCUGAUAGGGAGUCCAGCUCGCAGAGUUAUAC